rnacentral:tRNA from 2 species
GAUAAAAAAAGGAUUUUAACCUUUAUACUAGGAGCUACAACCCUACACCUAUUUCGGCCAUUUUACC